rnacentral:rRNA from 1 species
AGUGAACGCUGGCGGUAGGCCUAACACAUGCAAGUCGAACGGCAGCACAGUAAGAGCUUGCUCUUACGGGUGGCGAGUGGCGGACGGGUGAGGCAUACAUCGGAAUCUACUUUUUCGUGGGGGAUAACGUAGGGAAACUUACGCUAAUACCGCAUACGACCUACGGGUGAAAGCAGGGGAUCUUCGGACCUUGCGCGAUUGAAUGAGCCGAUGUCGGAUUAGCUAGUUGGCGAGGUAAAGGCCCACCAAGGCGACGAUCCGUAGCUGGUCUGAGAGGAUGAUCAGCCACACUGGAACUGAGACACGGUCCAGACUCCUACGGGAGGCAGCAGUGGGGAAUAUUGGACAAUGGGCGCAAGCCUGAUCCAGCCAUGCCGCGUGGGUGAAGAAGGCCUUCGGGUUGUAAAGCCCUUUUGUUGGGAAAGAAAAGCAGCAGGUUAAUCCCCCGCUGUUCUGACGGUACCCAAUGAAUAAGCACCGGCUAACUUCGUG